CGACAGCGCCGACGUCGCGUCCUGCGCCUACGUCAACCAAGGAGCUUUUCUUUUUCCUGGGAGGUGGAGGUCUGGCUCCUGCGCUUCCUCAUUGGCCUACAUGUGCAAACGGCCGCGGAGCUGCCCGGAGGGACGGACGUGUACCUCCAAUAAUGUUACUGCUGUAAUGAAGACUUCCGAAUGCGACGAUGGCAACUUCCUUUAUGGCGAUGAUUGCUAUCUUUUUGACGCGACGUCUAGAACUUGGGAGGAUGGCGAGAAGUUUUGUCUCGUCCGGCGGGGCCACCUGGCUAGCAUACACUCUGAGCAAGAUGCCCGAUU